rnacentral:rRNA from 1 species
AGCAGCCGCCGCGGUAAUACGUAGGUGGCAAGCGUUGUCCGGAAUUAUUGGGCGUAAAGGGCUCGCAGGCGGUUUCUUAAGUCUGAUGUGAAAGCCCCCGGCUCAACCGGGGAGGGUCAUUGGAAACUGGGAAACUUGAGUGCAGAAGAGGAGAGUGGAAUUCCACGUGUAGCGGUGAAAUGCGUAGAGAUGUGGAGGAACACCAGUGGCGAAGGCGACUCUCUGGUCUGUAACUGACGCUGAGGAGCGAAAGCGUGGGGAGCGAACAGGAUUAGAUACCCCGGUUCCCUGUCUCUUAUACAC